UUAGACGUAAAUCGAUUUAAAUCUACCGGAGUACUACGAAUCAUAAAUUUAAAACUCAAAGAGCUUGGCGGUGCUUUAGACUUUUCAGGGGAACCUGUCUCAUAAUCGACAAUCCCCGAAUCAACCUCACCUUUCUUUGCGAAUCAGUAUGUAUACCGUCGUCGUCAGGUAACUUUUAAAAAGAUAAAAGUUAGCUUAAAACCCUUAGUUUUUACGUCAGAUCAAGGUGCAGCCUAUAGAAAGGGGAAGAUGGGUUACAAUUAAAACUUAUAACUACGGAUAUUGGCUAUAAUAAAGCCAUUUUGAAGGAGGACUUGAAAGUAAAAGCUAGUAGCUAAAUGCUUUGAAUUAAGCUCUGAAGCG
rnacentral:rRNA from 1 species